rnacentral:rRNA from 1 species
AGGGAAUCUUCGGCAAUGGACGGAAGUCUGACCGAGCAACGCCGCGUGAGUGAAGAAGGUUUUCGGAUCGUAAAGCUCUGUUGUAAGAGAAGAACGAGUGUGAGAGUGGAAAGUUCACACUGUGACGGUAUCUUACCAGAAAGGGACGGCUAACUACGUGCCAGCAGCCGCGGUAAUACGUAGGUCCCGAGCGUUGUCCGGAUUUAUUGGGCGUAAAGCGAGCGCAGGCGGUUAGAUAAGUCUGAAGUUAAAGGCUGUGGCUUAACCAUAGUACGCUUUGGAAACUGUUUAACUUGAGUGCAAGAGGGGAGAGUGGAAUUCCAUGUGUAGCGGUGAAAUGCGUAGAUAUAUGGAGGAACACCGGUGGCGAAAGCGGCUCUCUGGCUUGUAACUGACGCUGAGGCUCGAAAGCGUGGGGAGCAAACAGGAUUAGAUACCCUGGUAGUCCACGCCGUAAACGAUGAGUGCUAGGUGUUAGGUCCUUUCCGGGACUCAGUGCCGCAGCUAACGCAUUAAGCACUCCGCCUGGGGAGUACGACCGCAAGGUUG